UCACUCCUACGGGGAGGCAGCAGUAGGGAAUCUUCCACAAUGGGCGCAAGCCUGAUGGAGCAACACCGCGUGAGUGAAGAAGGGUUUCGGCUCGUAAAGCUCUGUUGUUAAAGAAGAACACGUAUGAGAGUAACUGUUCAUACGUUGACGGUAUUUAACCAGAAAGUCACGGCUAACUACGUGCCAGCAGCCGCGGUAAUACGUAGGUGGCAAGCGUUAUCCGGAUUUAUUGGGCGUAAAGAGAGUGCAGGCGGUUUUCUAAGUCUGAUGUGAAAGCCUUCGGCUUAACCGGAGAAGUGCAUCGGAAACUGGAUAACUUGAGUGCAGAAGAGGGUAGUGGAAACUCCAUGUGUAGCGGUGGAAUGCGUAGAUAUAUGGAAGAACACCAGUGGCGAAGGCGGCUACCUGGUCUGCAACUGACGCUGAGACUCGAAAGCAUGGGUAGCGAACAGGAUUAGAUACCCUGGUAG
rnacentral:rRNA from 1 species